UCCAUGAUCCUAUGCUGCCGAGAAAAGCCUCUAGCGAGCUGGUACAUGGCCCGUACCCCAAACCGACACAGGUGGUCAGGUAGAGAAUACUAAGGCGAUCGAGAGAACUGUGGUUAAGGAACUCGGCAAAAUGCCCCCGUAACUUCGGGAGAAGGGGGACCAGUCCUGGUGACGACAUUUACUGUCUGAGCUGGGGUUGGUCGCAGAGACCAGAGAGAAGCGACUGUUUACUAAAAACACAGGUCCGUGCGAAGUCGUAAGACGAUGUAUACGGACUGACGCCUGCCCGGUGCUGGAAGGUUAAGAGGACCGGUCAGCCACUUCGGUGGCGAAGCUGAGAAUUUAAGCCCCAGUAAACGGCGGUGGUAACUAUAACCAUCCUAAGGUAGCGAAAUUCCUUGUCGGGUAAGUUCCGACCUGCACGAAUGGCGUAACGACUUCUCUGCUGUCUCAACCACAGACUCGGCGAAAUUGCAGUACGAGUAAAGAUGCUCGUUACGCGCGGCAGGACGAAAAGACCCCGGGACCUUCACUAUAGCUUGGUAUUGGUGUUCGGUUCGGUUUGUGUAGGAUAGGUGGGAGACUGUGAAACUCGCACGCCAGUGUGGGUGGAGUCAUCGUUGAAAUACCACUCUGACCGUAUUGGACAUCUAACCUCGGACCAUGAUCUGGUUCAGGGACAGUGCCUGGUGGGUAGUUUAACUGGGGCGGUUGCCUCCCAAAAAGUAACGGAGGCGCCCAAAGGUUCCCUCAGCCUGGUUGGCAAUCAGGUGUUGAGUGUAAGCGCACAAGGGAGCUUGACUGUGAGACGUACAUGUCGAGCAGGGACGAAAGUCGGGACUAGUGAUCCGGCACCGGCAAGUGGAAGCGGUGUCGCUCAACGGAUAAAAGGUACCCCGGGGAUAACAGGCUGAUCUUCCCCAAGAGUCCAUAUCGACGGGAUGGUUUGGCACCUCGAUGUCGGCUCGUCGCAUCCUGGGGCUGGAGUAGGUCCCAAGGGUUGGGCUGUUCGCCCAUUAAAGCGGCACGCGAGCUGGGUUUAGAACGUCGUGAGACAGUUCGGUCUCUAUCCGCCGCGCGCGUAAGAAACUUGAGGAAACCUGUCCCUAGUACGAGAGGACCGGGACGGACGAACCUCUGGUGUGCCAGUUGUUCCACCAGGAGCACCGCUGGUUAGCUACGUUCGGAAGGGAUAACCGCUGAAAGCAUCUAAGCGGGAAGCCUUUCCAAGAUGAGGUUUCUCACCACCUAGCGUGGUUAAGGCCCCCCACAGACCAUGGGGUUGAUAGGCCAGAACUGUAAGCACAGCAAUGUGUUCAGGUGACUGGUACUAAUCGGCCGAGGACUUGC
rnacentral:rRNA from 1 species